GAUGAACGCUGGCGGCGUGCCUAAUACAUGCAAGUCGAGCGAACGGACGAGAAGCUUCCUUCUCUGAUGUUAGCGGCGGACGGGUGAGUAACACGUGGAUAACCUACCUAUAAGACUGGGAUAACUUCGGGAAACCGUAGCUAAUACCGGAUAAUAUUUUGAACCGCAUGUUUCAACAGUGAAAGACGGUCUUGCUGUCACUUAUAGAUGGAUCCGCGCUGCAUUAGCUAGUUGGUAAGGUAACGGCUUACCAAGGCAACGAUGCAUAGCCGACCUGAGAGGGUGAUCGGCCACACUGGAACUGAGACACGGUCCAGACUACUGCGGGAGGCAGCAGUAGGGAAUCUUCCGCAAUGGGCGAAAGCCUGACGGAGCAACGCCGCGUGAGUGAUGAAGGUCUUCGGAUCGUAAAGAUCUGUUAUUAGGGAAGAACAUAUGUGUAAGUAACUAUGCACAUCGUGACGGUACCUAAACAGAAAGCCACGGCUAACUACGUG
rnacentral:rRNA from 1 species